GAGGUGUUAACUCUGGAGUAAGCAGGCUUUUUGUACCUGCUCUUCCACUCUUUCUAUCCUUGCUAGCCGUUCCUGAAGCUUUCUCGUCUAGACCACUGGUGAAUGGGUGCAAAACAGAUGAAAAUGCCCGUUUCAAGACCGUAAAAAAGGGCCUUGAGCUCCCCUGAGGUGGGUCAUAGGGUUUCUUAACAGUCUUUGAUGAAGUGCGAGUAUUUUUUGAAACAGGAGGCAUCAAUACAAACUCAUCGACAACUACUAGAAGACGUUGGUUAAUGAGAAGUAGCGAGUUUAGUUACGUGGCAAUUAUUUUUCAUGCUAAUGACUUAUUGAUUGUCUGGUAGCGCUAUUUGUUAUAUGCCAAUAUCGUAGUCGUAGGAACUGUACGACUAUUGUAACACGUUUCGUAAAAAUGUUUAAUACGAGAAGAAAGGGAGUUAUUUGAAGGUGUUAAGCAAGAUGGAAUAUGUUAAUACAAUUUGUUUUCGGUUUAAAAAAAUGGGAUAUCAAAUUCUAUUUAAUCUCGUUACCAGUAAAGUGGUGAUUGCAACAGUAGUCCACGAGCCUUAGCUUCGUCAAUAUUCGCUUUAUCAAGUUUUAGGCUGUCUAAUAUUCUAGCAACUUACUUGCAAUACUUAAAUUCUUCCGUUUAAAUCAGCUUACAUUGUAUGAAGAAAUGAUUAGUUCUAUUUUCAUAGAAAAACACUUAGGCACGUACUGUCUAAUCGUACGUAAUUGGAAUUUCGCUUUACUAUCAUCUAUAGUAGUGUUG